UCUAAGGGAUAUGGCUUUGUCUCCUUUUUCAACAAAUGGGAUGCUGAAAACGCCAUUCAACAGAUGGGUGGCCAGUGGCUUGGUGGAAGACAAAUCAGAACUAACUGGGCAACCCGAAAGCCUCCCGCUCCAAAGAGUACAUAUGAGUCAAAUACCAAACAGCUAUCAUAUGAUGAGGUUGUAAAUCAGUCUAGUCCAAGCAACUGUACUGUAUACUGUGGAGGUGUUACUUCUGGGCUAACAGAACAACUAAUGCGUCAGACUUUUUCACCAUUUGGACAAAUAAUGGAAAUUCGAGUCUUUCCAGAUAAAGGAUAUUCAUUUGUUCGGUUCAAUUCCCAUGAAAGUGCAGCACAUGCAAUUGUUUCUGUUAAUGGUACUACCAUUGAAGGUCAUGUUGUGAAAUGCUAUUGGGGCAAAGAAACUCUUGAUAUGAUAAAUCCCGUGCAACAGUUCCAGAAUGGUGUUUCAUGGAUUGCAGUGGUGACAUGAUGAAUGUGACCGCCUCAAUUGACUCAUGCUCACACAGUGGAUUUUAAAAUGCUCCGAGAAACCUAAAAGG
rnacentral:lncRNA from 1 species